UGUAGUAUUUUGACUAUACAAAGGUAUUGUAAUAAGACUUUAAUUGAGUGCUAAAAGAAUGGAGUUUCAAAAAAAGUCUAUCUUGAAUUAAAAAAUUGAAUUUAAUUUUAUUUGUGAAGAAGCAAUAAUUAAAAUUAAGGACAAGAAGACCCUAAGAAUUUUUAAUUUUGUAUAUAUAUAUAUUUAUAUAUACAAAAUUUUAAUUGGGGCGAUUAAAAAAUAUAGUUAACUUUUAAUUUUAAAAAAUGAUCCAUUAUUAGUGAUUUAAUGUAAAAAAUACUCUAGGGAUAACAGCGUAAUAAUUUUAGAUAGAUCUUAUAGAAAAAAUAGUUUGCGACCUCGAUGUUGGAUUAGGAUACUUUUUUGGUGGAGAAAUUAAAAUAAGAAGUUUGUUCAACUUUUAAAAU
rnacentral:rRNA from 1 species